ACUCCUACGGGAGGCAGCAGUGGGGAAUAUUGCACAAUGGGCGCAAGCCUGAUGCAGCAACGCCGUGUGAGUGAAGAAGGUUUUCGGAUCGUAAAACUCUGUCCUAAGGGAAGAAACAAAUGACGGUACCUUAGGAGGAAGCCCCGGCUAACUACGUGCCAGCAGCCGCGGUAAUACGUAGGGGGCAAGCGUUAUCCGGAAUCACUGGGGCGUAAAGGGUGCGUAGGCGGCUUAGCAAGCCAGGGGUGAAAGGCAUUGGCUCAACCAAUGUAAGCCUUUGGAACUGUUAGGCUUGAGUGCAGGAGAGGUAAGUGGAAUUCCUAGUGUAGAGGUGAAAUUCGUAGAUAUUAGGAGGAACACCAGUGGCGAAGGCGACUUACUGGACUGUAACUGACGCUGAUGCACGAAAGCGUGGGUAGCGAACAGGAUUAGAUACCCUGGUAGCGACUGA
rnacentral:rRNA from 1 species